rnacentral:rRNA from 1 species
GUGGGGAAUAUUGCACAAUGGGCGCAAGCCUGAUGCAGCCAUGCCGCGUGUAUGAAGAAGGCCUUCGGGUUGUAAAGUACUUUCAGCGGGGAGGAAGGGAGUAAAGUUAAUACCUUUGCUCAUUGACGUUACCCGCAGAAGAAGCACCGGCUAACUCCGUGCCAGCAGCCGCGGUAAUACGGAGGGUGCAAGCGUUAAUCGGAAUUACUGGGCGUAAAGCGCACGCAGGCGGUUUGUUAAGUCAGAUGUGAAAUCCCCGGGCUCAACCUGGGAACUGCAUCUGAUACUGGCAAGCUUGAGUCUCGUAGAGGGGGGUAGAAUUCCAGGUGUAGCGGUGAAAUGCGUAGAGAUCUGGAGGAAUACCGGUGGCGAAGGCGGCCCCCUGGACGAAGACUGACGCUCAGGUGCGAAAGCGUGGGGAGCAAACAGGAUUAGAAACCCUAGUAGUCC